CAAGCUGCAGCUCUUGAGGACACUGAAGUUUCUGCAGGAAAACACAAUGAGAAAUCUUCCUCUGUGUAGUCACGAAAUAGAGUUGAUGAAGAUCUCCUGCCAGCACUUCCAUGAGAAGCUGGAUGAGAUUGAACAGCACCUGACAGAACAGCAGGCAUUGUUUGCCAAUUAUAUGCCAGAAGAAGGAAGAGAGGAAAGCAGAAACCUGCAACACCUACGUCAAGCCGUUCGUCAGGAGAUGGCAGAACUGGAACUCUGUCUGAAUGAUAAAGCUUACCAAGUCGGGGAGGGCAUCCUGAUGGUACGCUGCACAAGCCCUGGG
rnacentral:lncRNA from 1 species